rnacentral:tRNA from 1 species
GGGCCCGUGGCCUAGUAUGGAUAAGGCGUUGCCCCUCUAAGGCAGAGAUCGUGGGUUCAAAUCCCACCGGGCCCG